UACGGGGGGGGUAAGCGUUGUUCGGAAUUACUGGGCGUAAAGGGCUCGUAGGCGGCCAACUAAGUCAUACGUGAAAUCCCUCAGCUUAACUGGGGAACUGCGUGUGAUACUGGAUGGCUUGGAUUUGGGAGAGGGAUGCAGAAUUCCAGGUGUAGCGGUGAAAUGCGUAGAUAUCUGGAGGAAUACCGGUGGCGAAGGCGGCAUCCUGGACCGAGAUUGACGCUGAACGACGAAAGCUAGGGGAGCAAACGGG
rnacentral:rRNA from 1 species